GCCUUCGUGGUGUAGUGGUCAGCACGCUGGAUGCGAAAUCCAGAGGUCCGUGGUUCGAGUCCCGGCGAGGGCA
rfam:Stegodyphus mimosarum contig90111, whole genome shotgun sequence.